rnacentral:rRNA from 1 species
AAAGUUUAACGGCCGCGGUAUUUUGACCGUGCGAAGGUAGCGUAAUCACUUGUCUUUUAAAUAGAGACCUGUAUGAAUGGCAUAACGAGGGCCAUGCUGUCUCCUUUUUCCAGUCAAUGAAAUUGAUCUACCCGUGCAGAAGCGGGUAUUAAAACAUAAGACGAGAAGACCCUAUGGAGCUUUAGACACCAAAGCAGCCAGUGUUAAAGAGCCCUAUGAAGGGAAAAAACAAAACUGACUCUGCUUAUUUGUCUUUGGUUGGGGCGACCGCGGAGAACAAUAAAACCCCCGCGUGGAAUGGGACAUCCCUGAAACAAGGCAGACAGGCCUAGUAUCCAGAAAAUCUGACCUAAAGAUCCGGCUAUGCCGAUCAACGGACCCAGUUACCCUAGGGAUAACAGCGCAAUCCCCUUUUAGAGCCCACAUCGACAAGGGGGUUUACGACCUCGAUGUUGGAUCAGGACCUCCUAAUGGUGCAGCCGCUAU